GAGUUUGAUCCUGGCUCAGAACGAACGCUGGCGGCGUGCCUAACACAUGCAAGUCGAACGUGAUCCAGAGCUUGCUCUGGUGAAAGUGGCGCACGGGUGAGUAACGCGUGGAUAACCUACCCUGGUAUCCGGGAUAACAUUCCGAAAGGGGUGCUAAUACCGGAUAAGCCCACGGGCUCUUUGGAGCUUGCGGGAAAAGGUGGCCUCUAUUUAUAAGCUACUGUAUCAGGAUGGGUCCGCGUACCAUUAGCUAGUUGGCGGUGUAACGGACCACCAAGGCGACSAUGGUUAGCUGGUCUGAGAGGAUGAUCAGCCMCMCUGGAACUGAGACACGGUCCAGACUCCUACGGGAGGCAGCAGUGGGGAAUUUUGCGCAAUGGGGGAAACCCUGACGCAGCAACGCCGCGUGAGUGAUGAAGGCCUUUGGGUCGUAAAGCUCUGUCAGAGGGGAAGAAAUGAUAUAGUGCUAAUACCACUUUAUCUUGACGGUACCCUCAAAGGAAGCACCGGCUAACUCCGUGCCAGCAGCCGCGGUAAUAC
rnacentral:rRNA from 1 species